CCUACAGUUGAUUUCUCGAUGUGCAGUGGAGGGGAUUCCUGGAGGCAUUGAAUCACCAGUUCCAGAUUUAAGGGAGGAAUCCAACUGUACUUUUGGCUCAGGGACACAGGCCGAAGAAAUAGAAGUAGAUAUGUGUUUUGGCAUGGCUGUUGAUGCCUUCGAAAAUGACAGCCAAACUGCCCUAACACCAAACUC